rnacentral:rRNA from 1 species
ACAUUGUUCAACGGCCGCGGUAUCCUAACCGUGCGAAGGUAGCGUAAUCACUUGUUCUUUAAAUAAGGACUAGUAUGAAAGGCGCCACGAGAGUCAUACUGUCUCCUUUCUCUAAUCAGUGAAACUAAUCUCCCCGUGAAGAAGCGGGGAUAAAAAUAUAAGACGAGAAGACCCUAUGGAGCUUAAAACAAAUAACACUUGCCCCCCAAACUUCUAAUUUCAGAAAAAUUUUCUACCCGAGCAUUAUGGUUAUUAGUUUUCGGUUGGGGUGACCGCGGAGUAAAAAGCAACCCCCGCAAUGAAAGACACUCAUCCACUUAGUUGGGGGCUACAACCCUACACAUCAACAAAUUGACACUAAUUGACCCAACAUGUUGAUCAAUGAACCAAGUUACCCUAGGGAUAACAGCGCAAUCCACUUCAAGAGCCCCUAUCGACAAGUGGGUUUACGACCUCGAUGUUGGAUCAGGGUGUCCUAGUGGUGCAGCCGCUACUAAAGGUUCGUUUGUUCAACGAUUAAAACCCUACGUGAUCUGAGUUCAGAC